CCUACGGGGGGCAGCAGUGAGGAAUAUUGGUCAAUGGACGAGAGUCUGAACCAGCCAAGUAGCGUGAAGGAUGACUGCCCUAUGGGUUGUAAACUUCUUUUAUAUGGGAAUAAAAUGUUCCACGUGUGGGAUUUUGUAUGUACCAUAUGAAUAAGGAUCGGCUAACUCCGUGCCAGCAGCCGCGGUAAUACGGAGGAUCCGAGCGUUAUCCGGAUUUAUUGGGUUUAAAGGGAGCGUAGGUGGAUUGUUAAGUCAGUUGUGAAAGUUUGCGGCUCAACCGUAAAAUUGCAGUUGAAACUGGCAGUCUUGAGUACAGAAGAGGUGGGCGGAAUUCGUGGUGUAGCGGUGAAAUGCUUAGAUAUCACGAAGAACGCCGAUUGCGAAGGCAGUUCACUGGACUGCAACUGACACUGAGGCUCGAAAGUGUGGGUAUCAAACAGGAUUAGAUACCCGAGUAGUC
rnacentral:rRNA from 1 species